UAAUUCAAUCGUUACACAACAUAUUUUCCUCAUUUACCAGCCCACUAGUAUCCAUGGGGAUCCAUAGGGGUCCCGCUACCCGUUAACACUUAACACUUGAAAUCAUUUUUCCAGGGCCGUCCCCAUACCCCAUCCGGUAUGGGCGCCAAAACUAUAGACCUCAUUACCCCGUCUGGUAUGAGGGUGAAACGGGCCGUCCCCAUACCCCGUCCGGUAUGGGCGCCAAAACACAUAAGAUCUCCAUACCCCGUCCGGUAUGGGAGACCACAAUCCCGGUAGGGUUCCCUACGGACCCGGUCCGUCCAUCAUCUCUCAGGAUAUCUAGUCAGGCUGACCAC
rnacentral:lncRNA from 1 species